UUAAUUCAACAAACCACCAUAUGCCAGAGCUGAGCAGUGCUCUGGUUAAUAAAUAAACAAACAAAUAAAUAAAUGAAGCCAAAGGUUAAAAAGAAGGAGGCUAAAAUAUGAGCAGGUAAGGUAAAAUAUAACCAGGUCACAUUUCUUCAGUUCACAGAAUGUUCCUAUCCCUCAAAAUUGAACAAUUCAAGAUGGAAACCAGGCAGGAAAUUGAUGUGAGCAUGGAGCUGACAGGAAAAUGGGGUGUGAGGACACAGAUGAUGUCACUCGCAAGUCUGGGAAAGCAGAUGGGCUCGCAAUUCUCAGCAGGGAAUGAUGGAGCCGUACACAUUGGCAAAGAAUGACGUAUCUUUGAAGUUUCAUCAGUUUGAACCAGAUGUGACUCACACUGCUGACGGUUUCCUAUGAUAAUUAGUUCCUCCUGCACACUCUUCAAUUCAAGCUAAACAUUACUUUAAAAAAAAAAGGUUAAUAUACUGCAUGGGUACCACGUGCUGACCGAUUGUGCCACUGGAUCUCCAAGGGCUAAUAUACUGUCUUUGUAAUACAGCAGGAAUAUUUGCAGAAUCUUUACUUAUUUACUUAUUUUGAAACAGAGAAAGCAAGAGGGUGAAAGAGACCACAGCAGCAAAGCUUCCUUCAACUUUGUGGAGACUAGCCUCAGCCCUGGGUCAUACAUAAGGAAAGCAGCGCACUAUCCAAGUGAGCUGUUUUGCUAGCCGAUGGAAAA